rnacentral:rRNA from 1 species
UCGUGACUGCGUGCCUUUUGAAGAAUGAGCCUGCGAGUUUGCGGUGUGUUGCGAGGUUAACCCGAGUGGGGAAGCCGUAGCGAAAGCGAGUCCGAAUAGGGCGAUUCAGUAGCGCGCUCAAGACCCGAAGCGGAGUGAUCUAGCCAUGGGCAGGUUGAAGCGGAGGUAAGACUUCGUGGAGGACCGAACCCACCAGGGUUGAAAACCUGGGGGAUGACCUGUGGUUAGGGGUGAAAGGCCAAUCAAACUCCGUGAUAGCUGGUUCUCCCCGAAAUGCAUUUAGGUGCAGCGUCGUGUGUUUCUUGCCGGAGGUAGAGCACUGGAUAGGCGAUGGGCCCUACCGGGUUACUGACCUUAGCCAAACUCCGAAUGCCGGUAAGUGAGAGCGCGGCAGUGAGACUGUGGGGGAUAAGCUCCAUGGUCGAGAGGGAAACAGCCCAGAGCAUCGACUAAGGCCCCUAAGCGUACGCUAAGUGGGAAAGGAUGUGGAGUCGCACAGACAACCAGGAGGUUGGCUUAGAAGCAGCCACCCUUGAAAGAGUGCGUAAUAGCUCACUGGUCUAGUGAUUCCGCGCCGACAAUGUAGCGGGGCUCAAGCGUACCGCCGAAGUCGUGUCAUUCAUACAAUAGGGCCAACGCCUGUAUGAUGGGUAGGGGAGCGUCGUGUGCCGGGUGAAGCAGCCGCGGAAGCGAGUUGUGGACGGUUCACGAGUGAGAAUGCAGGCAUGAGUAGCGAUACAAACGUGAGAAACGUUUGCGCCGAUUGACUAAGGGUUCCUGGGUCAAGCUGAUCUGCCCAGGGUAAGUCGGGACCUAAGGCGAGGCCGACAGGCGUAGUCGAUGGAUAACCGGUUGAUAUUCCGGUACCCGCUGUGAAGCGUCAAACAUUGAAUCAGGCGAUGCUAAGUCCGUGAAGCCGUUCCGGACCCUUCGGGGAAAGGAAAGUGGUGGAGCCGACGGACCAGACUUGUAGUAGGUGAGUGAUGGGGUGACGCAGGAAGGUAGUCCAUCCCGGGCGGUGGUUGUCCCGGGGUAAGGGUGUAG